rnacentral:rRNA from 1 species
UACGUAGGGCGCAAGCGUUGUCCGGAAUUAUUGGGCGUAAAGAGCUCGUAGGCGGUUUGUCGCGUCGUUUGUGAAAACUCACAGCUCAACUGUGAGCCUGCAGGCGAUACGGGCAGACUUGAGUACUGCAGGGGAGACUGGAAUUCCUGGUGUAGCGGUGGAAUGCGCAGAUAUCAGGAGGAACACCGAUGGCGAAGGCAGGUCUCUGGGCCGCAACUGACGCUGAGGAGCGAAAGCAUGGGGAGCGAACAGG